AGCGAACGCUGGCGGCAGGCCUAAAACAUGCAAGUCGAACGCCUGUAGCAAUACAGGAGUGGCAGACGGGUGAGUAACACGUGGGAACGUACCCUUUGGUUCGGAACAACACAGGGAAACUUGUGCUAAUACCGGAUAAGCCCUUACGGGGAAAGAUUUAUCGCCAGAGGAUCGGCCCGCGUCUGAUUAGCUUGUUGGUGAGGUAACGGCUCACCAAGGCUACGAUCAGUAGCNGGUCUGAGAGGAUGAUCAGCCACACUGGGACUGAGACACGGCCCAGACUCCUACGGGAGGCAGCAGUUAGGAAUCUUGGACAAUGGGCGCAAGCCUGAUCCAGCCAUGCCGCGUGAGUGAUGAAGGCCUUAGGGUUGUAAAGCUCUUUCAGCGGGGAAGAUAAUGACGGUACCCGCAGAAGAAGCCCCGGCUAACUUCGUGCCAGCAGCCGCGGUAAU
rnacentral:rRNA from 1 species